UACAGAGGUCUCAAGCGUUGUUCGGAUUCAUUGGGCGUAAAGGGCGCGUAGGCGGUGCGGUAAGUCACCUGUGAAACCUCUAGGCUCAACCUAGAGCCUGCAGGCGAAACUGCCGUGCUUGAGGGUGGGAGAGGUGCGUGGAAUUCCCGGUGUAGCGGUGAAAUGCGUAGAUAUCGAGAGGAACACCUGCGGCGAAGGCGGGUUGCUGGGCUGACACUGACGCUGAUGUGCGAAAGCUAGGGGAGCGAACGGG
rnacentral:rRNA from 1 species